AGGGCUGAUUUCACUAGAGCGCAGGUUUGUGGCACCUGAGGUCGGUGGUUCGACCCCACUCAACCGUACCA
rnacentral:tRNA from 1 species